UGAGGAAUAUUGGUCAAUGGGCGGAAGCCUGAACCAGCCAUGCCGCGUGAAGGACUAAGGCCCUACGGGUCGUAAACUUCUUUAGACGCAGAGCAAUAAGGUCCACGCGUGGACCGAUGAGAGUAUGCGUAGAAUAAGCAUCGGCUAACUCCGUGCCAGCAGCCGCGGUAAUACGGGGGAUGCGAGCGUUAUCCGGAUUUAUUGGGUUUAAAGGGUGCGUAGGCGGUCCGGUAAGUCAGCCGUGAAAAGCCCCCGCUCAACGGGGGUCGUGCGUUUGAUACUGUUGGACUGGAAUGCGGAUGCCGUGGGAGGAAUGUGUGGUGUAGCGGUGAAAUGCAUAGAUAUCACACAGAACACCGAUUGCGAAGGCAUCUCACGAAUCCGCAAUUGACGCUGAGGCACGAAAGCGCGGGUAUCGAACAGGAUUAGAUACCCUGGUAGU
rnacentral:rRNA from 1 species